rnacentral:ncRNA from 1 species
GAGUGUUGAUGCGGAAGGUUGCCACCACAUAAGCGGGCGGGUUUUUCCGAGGAGCGAUGUCCAGUUCAUGAAACCGGGCGACAA